rnacentral:rRNA from 1 species
UACGUAGGGUGCAAGCGUUGUCCGGAAUUAUUGGGCGUAAAGAGCGUGUAGGCGGCCCGGUUAGUCCGCUGUGAAAGUCCAGGGCUCAACCCUGGAAUGCCGGUGGAUACUGUCGGGCUAGAGUCCGGAAGAGGAGAGUGGAAUUCCCGGUGUAGCGGUGAAAUGCGCAGAUAUCGGGAAGAACACCCGUGGCGAAGGCGGCUCUCUGGGACGGUACUGACGCUGAGACGCGAAAGCGUGGGGAGCGAACAGG